rnacentral:tRNA from 1 species
GCCCUGGUAACUCAAUUGGCUAGAGUGUUGGACUUUUAAUCCAGAGGUUGCGGGUUCGACCCCCGCCUGGGGCG